GCCUUCGUGGUGUAGCGGUCAGCAUCCUCGACGUGUAUUCGAUAGGUCCAUGGUUCAACUCCCGGCAAAGGCG
rnacentral:tRNA from 1 species